rnacentral:rRNA from 1 species
CUGGCGGCGUGCCUAACACAUGCAAGUCGAACGGGGAUUUGUUUCGGCAGAAUCCUAGUGGCGAACGGGUGAGUAAUGCGUAGGCAACCUGCCCUCCGGCCGGGGACAACACUCCGAAAGGGGUGCUAAUACCGGAUACGAAGUCUGUGCCGCAUGGUACGGAUUUGAAAGAUGGCCUCUGUUUACAAGCUAUCGCCGGGGGAUGGGCCUGCGUCCGAUUAGCUGGUUGGUGGGGUAACGGCCUACCAAGGCGACGAUCGGUAGCCGGUCUGAGAGGAUGAACGGCCACAUUGGGACUGAGACACGGCCCAGACUCCUACGGGAGGCAGCAGUGGGGAAUCUUCCGCAAUGGGCGCAAGCCUGACGGGGCAACGCCGCGUGAGUGAGGAAGUUCUUCGGAACGUAAAGCUCUGUUGUUCCUGACGAACCUCCCCUCUAUCAACAACGGAGGGGACUGACGGUAGGGAACGAGGAAGCCACGGCUAACUACGUGCCAGCAGCCGC